CUUGCAGCUAGAGAAAAAUGAACAGACAGGGCUCCAUACACAUAACUGUAUGCCAGAUUGCAUCAGUAUAGAGUAUCCUGUACAGGAUUACGGAGUAAAACUGCAGGGGGAAAUUACAAAAAGCAACAGUCCACUAGUGAGAAAGUAUGGUAUAAAAAAUCACACACUUUUUCAUGUGUACUAUGGGAAUUUCAUGGCCACUAAAUACAGAAAGAAUGUUGUUGACAGACUAACUAUAUUGCUGGGUUUCAGUGGUGGCUUACUGAGUCUGUUCACUGGCUUUAGUUUCAUGGCGGGUUUUGAGGUAAUUUACAUCUUCACAUUGCAACUUAUGUACGUAGGUCAUCCACCUGACACGAAAGAUAACAGGACUGCUCCUUUCCAAUGUAGAAGAAACUUAAACAAGAAAUAAAUGGAAACAACAAAGUAAAGACAACUGCAGCUGGACAUCAAAUUUGUUAAUCUUUGUACUUUGAUCCAUAUAUUGUUAUUUUUAAAAAAGUGGUUUGAAGUAUUAAUAUCCAGAAACUAAAAAUUUUUACAACAUUAUAAACAACAGUUCCACUUAAAUAUUAAAACAUUUUCUGACUGGGAGCUGUUAAAAAUUGUGUCACAAAAGUAGCUUCUUUAUUAUUAUUAUUUUUUUGGCACAGUAGAUUGUUUGAUGUGAAUAUGUUUAAAACUAAACAAUAGACAUAAAAUUGAUAGUCACUACAAUUGCUACAUUAUGUUCAUUUUCAUGUAAGCUAGAUUUAUCUACAAUCAAGUGAGUGACUCAAAUAUAACCACUGCCCCCUUGUCUAGGCUAUUUAGGUAGGAGGCAAAAAUGGAAAGUUAACAUUAUUGAAAAUGAGUCCCUGUCUGACAAACACUUUUAACCUAUCACGGCUCAUUAAGCUAGGAAAUUUCUGUUACUCAAUAAGAAAAUAUCAUUAUUGAUAAUUUUUAUUUUUUGUGUAUAUGUUUCAUAUAACUAUACGGUAAUGGCAGAACAGUCUAUGGGUGUACUGUCCUGUCAUCAAAUAAACUGAGAGAAGCUAAGAAAUCAUAUAUAAGCUGACUAUGAAUGUCAAUCAUCUUGUGCCGAGUAGAAAGACCUGUCAGGUGAUCAAACUUGAACUGUCAGUCAGUUUUAAUGACACAACUUGUACCAUCAUACUCGGAAAUUUAUUUCUAUGUUGUCAAGUUGGAAAAUGACCCAUACAUACACUUUUCCAUCCUCAAUCUCUGCUAACCCCUGUUUUGCAGCCACAUAAUUUUCAGUCCCUAUCUGCCAAAUCCAACCCAUUUCUUAGCUCUGUUCCGAUAGUUUUUACAUAUGUGGACCCUGUUUUCUCAAUGGUCUUCUCCCAAAAUGCUCCCCCUUCUCUCUCCCCCUCAUACUCUGUAUUUCCAUAUGCAACUACUUCUGCUUGCAUGAGAGUGACAAUCCUCUAACUGUCCUUCGAACCCUUUCCCUUGCUGGUCAUCUCUCCCCUCAGUCUCCUCCUCCUCUUUGUCUCACUUCUUCUGUGUUCAUCCCACAUGCGUCAUCCAAAGCAAUAUUCACUUCACACAGGCAGCAGCAUUACACAUUUAAGUUUUUAUAAUUCUGUGAUCUGAUGUUAUUAUGAAAAAGGUUGUUCUUCCUCCUGUAUAAAUUUAAGAGGCAACUGAAUCUCACACUGUUUGGUUCAGAAACAGUAACCCAUGGACAUAAUUUUUACCCAAAAUAUCAUUCACCUCACUCAUACAUUUCUAGUUGUGCACAAUUGAUAUAUUUUUUCAAAUGGCUUCUUGGAGCCCCUCUACUGCUGGCCUGUUCUGUCAUAAAAUUUGCAUGGUAUUUCUACAGAAUUCAUGCAAUAUUGUUUGACGAUCAUCAGCAGGUUGAGACCAUCUCUAAAUACGUACAUUAACAUGUGCCAAGAAAGAGUGAUUUGACAACUGUUGUUAUUUCACAUUAAAUAUCACUCUCUUGCAAUCAUUAUGAAUCAUUAUAAGUAACCACUGAUCUUCACAAAAUUGCCAAUAUAAAAUUAUUUGCAAGCAGAUCUUUUGGGCUGCCUAGGUUGAAGACAACCUCAGCAUCAAUGCACCAAGGUAUAAGACUUUUCCCUGGUAACUCAAUGUUGUUUUGUAUGGUAAUCAGGCAGUCUCCUUUUAUAUCACUGUAAUUUCUUUCUUGAUUAAUGUAUAAAUAAGAGAUGAACAUAAGAAAAAAUCCUCCCCAAACCUCCUAGAUUAGCACUUUGACAUCUGCUCAGUCUCAACAAAAUCAUCAAGUUUCCUUACCCAUACCUGUUGACCAUUAGUUUACCUCUAACAUGCCAUAUUUCAGGAAACCUAACACGAAAACAUAAGUACCACUGCGCUGUAAUCACACUACACUGAAGAGGCAAAGAAACUGGUACACCUGCCUAAUAUUGUGUAGGGCGCCCGUGAGCAUGCAGAAGAGCUGCAACGAGAUAUGGCAUGGACUCAACUAAUGUCUGACAUAGUGCUGGAGGGAACUGACACCAUGAAUCCUGUAGGGCUGUCCAUAAAUCCAUAAGCAUAUGAGGGGAUGGGGGUCUCUUCUGAACAGCACGUUGCAAGACAUCCAAGAUAUACUCAAUAACUUUCAUGUCUGGAGUGUUAGGUGGCCAGCAGAAGUGUUUAAAAUCAGAAGAGUGUUCCUGGAGCCACUCUGUAGCAAUUCUAGAUGUGUGAGGUGUUGCAUUGUCCAGCUAGAAUUGCUCAAGUCCAUCGGAAUGCACAAUGGACAAGAAUGGAUACAGGUGAUCAGACAGGAUGCUUACGUAUGUGUCACCUGUCAGAGUAGUAUCUAGACAUAUUGUGGGUUCCAUGUCACUCCAAUUGCACAUGCCCCACAUCAUUACAGAGCCUCCAUCAGCUUGAACGGAUCCCUGCUGACACGUAAGGUUGAUGGACUCAUGAGGUUGUCUCCAUAUCCAUACACAUCCAUCCACUCGAUACAAUUUGAAAGGAGACUCAUCUGACCAGGCAACAUAUUUCCAGUCAUCAACAGUCCAAUGUCGGUGUUGACAGGCUGAGGCGAGGUGUAAAGCUUUGUAUCGUGCAGUCGUCAAGAAUACACGAGUGGGCCUUCAGCUCCAAAAGCCCAUAUUGAUAAUGUUUCAUCAAAUGGUUCACACACUGGCACUUGUUGAUGGCCCAGCACAGAAAUCUGCAGCAAUAUGCGAAAGGGUUGCACUUCUGUCACACUGAACGAUUCCCUUCAGUCGUCAUUGGUCCUGUUCUUGCAGGAUCUUUUUCCAGCCGCAGUGAUGUCAGAGAUUUGAUGUUUUACCAGAUUCCUGAUAUUCACAGUAUACUCAUGAAAUGAUUGUAUGAGAAAAUCCCCACUUCAUUGCUACCUCAGAGAUGCUGUUUGCUUUUUGCGCCAACUAUAACGCCAUGUUCACACACCUACUUGGAGAUUCAUAAGUAUUUAUUUACAGUUCAUUAAAUUUUGAUAACCUGCCAUUGUAGCAGCAGUAACCAAUCUAACAACUGUGCCAGACACUUGUUGUCCUAUACAGGUGUUGCCGACCGCCGCAUCGUAUUCUGCCUGUUUUCAUAUCUCUGUAUUUGAAUAUGCAUGCCUAUACCAGUUUCUUUACCUGUACUUCUCCUGUUUUCAGUAGUUGUAGAUGACUAAACUGCCCUUAUUUUUGGAUUUAGCUUUUUUUGUGAUCUUUUUUCAUAUUCCUGUGAAUCCAAAACUAACUAGUAUGUUACUGUCUGCUAUCUUUCAAUAAUUAGUCUCGUGAUAAUUCUCUCUCGUCAUCCAUUAAGUUUUAAUUUAUUUAUUUCUUUUUCCAUGAAAUGUAUAUGUCUAACUUACAUUUCAAUGAAAGUAUUCCCAUCCCUACAUUAUUUUUCCUCUGAGUUGAAAAAUUGGUAAUCAUUUUCUACUUUUCAAAAUUAUAUAACUAUUAUGUUAUUUACUGUCUGUUUGGUUUGGUACUGCAAAUAUUUAUGUGCAAUUAUCUGAAAGACUGCAUUAUCUUAUUAGUCUUACAUUUGGAACAAAAGGAAAUACUGUUUGAAAAAGGCACCAGAUGGGCACACACAAGCUCAUUACUGAAUGGAAAGACUGUAGCAAAUGAAGAUGUUCCCACAAUGUGCGAGCAAUGAACACAUAAGGAGAGAAAAGACAAUCCAUGGUUGGCAUUGCACAUUUAUGCAAAACAUGGUGAAACAUUUUUAACUAAUAUUCACAACAAAGUUAUGUUUUGUGACUGAAUAGAAAUUUGUUUCAAAUGUAAAAACUUCUAUACAAAUAUGGGGAGAAAGGAGAUACAUUGUAGCAAAUUUUAUAUGAAAACAGUAAUGGUUUCUGUGUGUGAAUGUGUGCACUUUUGUUAGAAAAGGAGUUAGCGCUCAAAAGCUAGUGUGAAUGCUGUUUUCUGUUAUGUGUUUCUGUGCUCCAUGCAUCGAUCCACUGUAGUGGUUGCCUUUCCUUAUUUUACUUAUAUGAGAAUACACCAAUUUCGAAGUGAUGAUACAAAAUAAUAAGAUAUAAUUAUUUAUUAUAAAAUACAGCUUUUU